rnacentral:rRNA from 1 species
UGCCCAGAUCUAAGGAAUAGCCACUGGAAACGGUGAGUAAUACCUUAUACGCCCUUCGGGGAAAGAUUUAUCGGAUUUGGAUCGGCCCGCGUUAGAUUAGGUAGUUGGUGGGGUAACGGCCUACCAAGCCUACGAUCUAUAGCUGGUUUUAGAGGAUGAUCAGCAACACUGGGACUGAGACACGGUCCAGACUCCUACGGGAGGCAGCAGUGGGGAAUAUUGGACAAUGGGGGCAACCCUGAUCCAGCCAUGCCGCGUGAGUGAUGAAGGCCCUAGGGUUGUAAAGCUCUUUCAACGGUGAAGAUAAUGACGGUAACCGUAGAAGAAGCCCCGGCUAACUUCGUGCCAGCAGCCGCGGUAAUACGAAGGGGGCUAGCGUUGUUCGGAAUUACUGGGCGUAAAGCGUACGUAGGCGGGCUGGAAAGUUGGGGGUGAAAUCCCAGGGCUCAACCCUGGAACUGCCUCCAAAACUAUCAGUCUAGAGUUUGAGAGAGGUGAGUGGAAUUCCGAGUGUAGAGGUGAAAUUCGUAGAUAUUCGGAGGAACACCAGUGGCGAAGGGGCUCACUGGCUCGAUACUGACGCUGAGGUGCGAAAGUGUGGGGAGCAAACAGGAUUAGAUACCCUGGUAGUCCACACCGUAAACGAUGAAUGCCAGUCGUCGGGUAGUAUACUAUUCGGUGACACACCUAACGGAUUAAGCAUUCCGCCUGGGGAGUACGGUCGCAAGAUUAAAACUCAAAGGAAUUGACGGGGGCCCGCACAAGCGUGGAGCAUGUGGUUUAAUUCGAAGCAAC